UUUAUAAAGUUGUUUGAAGCGUCUAUGAUAAACAGAGAGCAAAUUAGAAUCCAAGGAAGUUGACAUGUCAUCACUUCAUUUUUUUGCGCCUGCGCAUAAAUCUGAGAAACGUGAGUUUUGUCUUCAUUGUUUAUCUCGACAUAGGAUAGGUUGUGUGAAAAUAUUACUGAUGUUUAACGUUAAAAAUGGACCAAAAGAUUAAUGCUAAACAACAUUUGACAUGUUUGAAUGAACAUAAAUAGAUUAUUUACUAGGUUUUUUUAGCUUUUCGGCGUGAUUUUACAGUCCCCCACCACGUUUUGUGGGAGCAUAAUGAACGCUAAGUACUUGGUGUUAUUUGGACAUAAAUUAUGAACUUUGUCAAAAGAAACCACAUUUGUUCCGGACCUGUGAUGCCUUCCGGACCUGGGAUGCCAGUCUUCUGAUGGAGAUAAUCAAAGAUCUCUUGAUCCAUCCUCUGGCUGCAUUUUAAGUACAUAGGUUCCACAAGGUAGGGGUGUACCCCCUGCUACUCCUCAGUAAGAGCAAGAAGGAAACGUUUUGUCGUCAACUGCAGUGUCCUCACAGUGGUAUGAUGAAUCAGACCUCAAUGGCAGCAAUCCAAAGGUUGUUGGUGGCAAUUGUGAAAGGUAUUUGGACAGAAAUAUGUAUGCAUGUCUUCCUUAAGACCCUAUCCUUCAACCACCACAUCCGUCAGACUGUAAAAAAAACAAAUGAUUCAACUUACGCAAAUUCGCCAAAGUCAGCCUCUCCUGUCCUGCUGGCCGAAACUCUCAUCCAUGCUUUCAUCUUCUCCCGAAUAGACUAUUUCAACUCACUACUCCCUGGCACUAACACAAACUCCCUCUAUAAGCUCAAUGGUUCAAAACUCAGCAGCCCAUCUUCUAACCCACACUAAAUCCUGGCAGAAUAUUACCCCCAUCCUCUGUGGGCUCACUUCAACCAGGUUGAACCCCCAAUAAUCCCUACCACCCAGGAGACCAGCUACACCCCCAUUCUCAACCAGGUUGAACCCCCGAUAUCCCCCACCGCCCAGGAGACCAGCUACACCCGGAUCCCCAACCAGGUUGAACCCCCGAAAACCCCCACCGCCCAGGAGACCAGCUACACCCAAACCGAACCAAAGAAGACGGGAAGAAAGUCCUGUCACCCUCAAAAAACCAUCUAACCCGCUGAGCAUGACAGUCAACCCCCAACCAAGGAAGUAGAAAUAUGACUACAUGCAAAAAGUGUCCAGUGCAUCCGGAGCAAAUGAUUUUCCCUAUUCUCAAAAUUCUUGCCAAUAGAACUUCAAAGGAGGGUCAGGAGCAGAAAGUGAAGUGGAAGCCGUGCUCUGGAUGUGACUUGCCCAAAAUGUUGCACUGGUCUGGCUCUUGAUGUACUGGCCCUUGGAGCUGAAGAAAUUAUGAAUAAAAAGGUUUUUAAUUCAAAAGAUUUGCUGGAGUUCUGACUCUCUCCUUUUGUUAAACAUUUAUUUUCAUCAGAGACAGACAACAGUUAUAGACAGGGAAAGGUGGGAUCAGACCUGCAUGUAAUGUAUUAUGUGCUGUGGGUAGAUGGUACUAGACCGCACUAUGGCACGACAACAAACUUUUGAUAUGCUAUGAUACAUGUUUUAAAGGAUCAGGAACAUGUUUGAAAAAG
rnacentral:lncRNA from 1 species